GUCAUGUCUUUAAGGUUAUGCAGGGCUCAUUCACUCCAAUUCUGUAGGGUUAUCUGCCCUCAGUGCUGCCCAGUCAGAUGAUCAGCCUCACAUCUCACUGUCAUCUCAACAACACCACAUUGUUGUGCUUCGCUCAAGUCCAGUAUGUCACACGACAUCAUGGCUAAUUCAGGAAAGCUCGACUACAUUCCAGUGGACAAACAAUAUUGACAGUUUGAUUUACCUCCAGAAAGCAUGCCAUCGUCAUUCAGGAUACUGACAGAGGCCUCACCUCACCACACCAUCACAGAAUUACAUGAUGUCCCCCACAGAGCCUGGUGAACAUGAGCCGACCCAAGUAGGAGGUGGCUGUGUGACAGGUCUUUAUCCAUUUCCUGCUGGUUACUAUUGUACUGCAGUGUGAGAUGUCUUGAACGGCACAAAGAAGUUAAACUCUCCAGCCAGUUUUACCUGACUUGGCACCCCUUUUCUGCAGCACCAUCCUUCUUCCUGAGCUCUAAAGUGUUUGUACCCAGUUAAAGCUGACUGCUGCCAUCGGUGUCAAGAAAAUGGAUGACCCAGGACCAUAACCAAAAGCUCAGCUUAUGAUCCGAUUAGGAUCAGAAAUGAACUGGAGGUAUUUGAAGAAAUCAAAAGACCAUGAAUGAUUUAAAAAUUAAGUAUUUGACAAACUCCUUUUUGAGUGAACUUUUGAAGCCAGAUAUUUUUUAAAGAUAAUAGUAUGCCCAACAAAUCACAUAUAUGUAAGCAAUAUUGAAUUACAAAUAAAGAAAUAAUAAUUAUGUAAAGAAAUGUACAUCUCAAUUAAAUAUGGUCUUGGGCACAUGUGGCAAAAUGCUAUAUAGCUUGAAUGCUUUCAAAAAUACCGCCAUUCGUGUUUUUUAUUAAUCAGUAAACUUCCAAGAAAGUGC